AACGAACGCUGGCGGCAUGCCUAACACAUGCAAGUCGAACGAGACCUUCGGGUCUAGUGGCGCACGGGUGCGUAACGCGUGGGAACCUGCCUUUAGGUUCGGAAUAACUCAGAGAAAUUUGAGCUAAUACCGGAUGAUGUCUUCGGACCAAAGAUUUAUCGCCUUUAGAUGGGCCCGCGUUGUAUUAGCUAGUUGGUGGGGUAAAGGCCUACCAAGGCGACGAUCCAUAGCUGGUCUGAGAGGAUGAUCAGCCACACUGGGACUGAGACACGGCCCAGACUCCUACGGGAGGCAGCAGUGGGGAAUAUUGGACAAUGGGCGAAAGCCUGAUCCAGCAAUGCUGCGUGAGUGAUGAAGGCCUUAGGGUUGUAAAGCUCUUUUACCCGAGAUGAUAAUGACAGUAUCGGGAGAAUAAGCUCCGGCUAACUCCGUG
rnacentral:rRNA from 1 species